rnacentral:rRNA from 1 species
GUGUCAGCCGCCGCGGUAAUACGAAGGGGGCUAGCGUUGUUCGGAAUCACUGGGCGUAAAGGGCGCGUAGGCGGCCUGGCAAGUCGGGGGUGAAAGCCUGUGGCUCAACCACAGAAUGGCCUUCGAUACUGCCGGGCUUGAGACCGGAAGAGGUCAGUGGAACUGCGAGUGUAGAGGUGAAAUUCGUAGAUAUUCGCAAGAACACCAGUGGCGAAGGCGGCUGACUGGUCCGGUUCUGACGCUGAGGCGCGAAAGCGUGGGGAGCAAACAGGAUUAGAAACCCUCGUAGUCC